AAUAAUCUUAUCAUGAAUGACUUAUUUUCAGUUUAUGAUGAUAAAAUUUACAACGUAUCACAUUCAAUACUUAGAACUUGACCUUAUACACUUUGCUCAACAUAAUACAAAGUGUUGUAAAAAUUACAAGCUGUUAACAAAUUUUCAGCCUUUCUACACUGUUUUUGAAAAUUCAUAGAAAAAUCAUACGAAGUCGAAAACUAAAUCCGUAAAUUCUGGGAGUUCCCAAAAUGUGUCUAGUUUACUCAUAAUUUUUAUCAUGAUUUUUAAUGACCUGCAACUUAGGUGAAAAAGUCCAUAAUCACAGACUGGUCCGGAUUGGUGUUUGAAAUGAUAGGCAGUUUUGUAAAAAUCACCAUAAAUUGUAGAAAAAUCGUAUGGAGAUGUGCAAGUAGUCAUUUUAAAGCUAAGAAGUGGAACUACAUGCACCUAAAACAGUUUUGAAAACUAAAAUGUUUAAGGUGUCCAAAACAGUCCGUGAAUGGAGUCCAACUUUUCUGAUGAAAGCUGUUAGAAAAAUUUAGUUAUGUUCUUGGUGUUUUAACUUGUAUUCCCCCCCUAAAAACUUAAGAAAACAUGAAAAUGUAGGGGUAUGAACUCACCUUAUGUGAUUUCAGUAGAUAAGUGUUGAAGAAGAGAAGUGUUCAACCCAAGAACACUUGAAGAAUCGCUUGAAGAUUCGAAGCUCUAACACAAAUAUAAUGGAGUUUGUGUAAGAUACCCAUGAUUUGAGUGGAAAUAAUUGAGAUAAUCUUAAAGGAAAUGGAUUAUGCUUACCAAAGGUGGAGGAAACUCUCAAGAUCAGCCCUUGAAUCUCGGAUUUCUAGAGAGAGAAAGUGAGAGAGAAAGGAGUUUGAUCUUCUUGUGAAAUGAGAACAAAUGAGAGAAAAUGAGGAGAGAGGAUGAAUAUCCAGCUCUCAAAAAACGUGGGAAGGAGUGAUGAUUGAGUGGAAAGGACAUUAAUGUGACCUAGGUAAGGUGGGGAGGUAUGGCUGGUCAUAGAGUGGGUGUGGGAGUGGUUGCUUGUGUCAUAAAGUAAAGCAAAGUCAACACUCCACCUCUUUGUACUUUUACCCACUUGCUUUUAUUAUUUAAAUAGAGAUUUUUAUGAAUUUAUGAUUAAAUUGUGAAUAUUUAGGGUUUAUUAUGUUAAAAUAUGAUUUUGGGUGAAAACCCCGCGUUAAAAUAAUUAAAAACGGGCCUUAAACGCAAAACUACGCGAAAACCGGGAGAAAAAUGUGUUCCCAGCGAGACCUCUCGGUCCUAGGCCGAGGUUCGGUCCCUAGGCCGAGGUUCGGUCAGGAGGGUGCAUGGUUCGGAAGCGAAGGCGCGAGCCAGAAGAAAGAAGCGAAGCGAGGCUGGUCCGAAGAGAAGCAGUCCGAGGCGAAGGCAAGGGGGUUCGGUCCGAAGUCUGGCUAGAACCGAAGGUACUGUUGUGAACAGUAAUGAACAGUACUUUCGGUUCGGAUUUUUCCUUCUUGCAUGGUUCGGUUCGGACCUCCUUCAAUGCCGGGUUCGGUUCGGAUGAACAGUGGUUUCGGUUCAGCUCAUGAACAGUACUUUCGGUUCAGACCCUCAUGAAUAGUGCUUUCGGUUCGGUUCAUGAAUAGUACUUUCGGUUCGGAGGGUUCGUUUCUUAAGUCCGUUUUUCGCGUAGACUUCCAUUCUUGGGCUAUUUUUCGCCAAUUUCGAGGGUCGGGAUGCCCCGAGUGAUUAUAGAAAGUCGGGGAGAGAUUUCGAGAGAGAUUUGAGAGAGAUUCCUCGUUCUCAGAGAGAUUUGGGAGAGAUUUGACGUACUUGGAGAGAUUUCACAUACAAAGAGAUACGUGAGAGAGAUUUCACAUACUUAGAGAGAUUUGGGAGAGAUUUGACAUACUUGGAGAGAUUUGGGAGAGAUUUGACAUACUUGGAGAGAUGUGAGAGAGAUUUCACAUACUUAGAGAGAUUUGGGAGAGAUUUCACAUACAGGGAGAUAGAGUGAAAACGAUUGAGAGUGUUUUUCGUGUGUGAUGAAUGAGAGUGUCCGGCUUCGCAAUGCAAGGUCCUUAGACCCCGUUGUGCCAUGUUUUAGGAUCUUACGCACUCCUAUGAGUAUGCAACAUUGUUUUAUUGUUUUUGUUCAUUGUUUAGCACUAAUGCUAAGGAUAUUUAAACACAUGAACUUUCCAAGUGGUGUUUUCUCAUUAAAAUAGUGAGUUAUACAGUAAUUACAUAAUAUAAACCCUAUCAUACAAGGUUUUAAUCGAGUUGACCGGUUUGACUCGUUGACCUUGUCCGGUUUAGACUUGACCCGAAUUUGACUAUUGUCACAUUAUAAUCCUCCCUAAUAAAUAAAGAUCUUUUUGCCACAUGUCACAUUUUCAUUUAUUUUGCCACAUGUAAUUUUGUGGUUAUUUUAAAUUAAUUUUUAUUCCACAUGUCAUUUUAUGAUUUUUUUUUUCAUUUUAUUAAAUUAUAGAUAGUAUUUAAAUGCAAAAAUAAAUGCAUAUCAAUUUCAUUAAUGAACUUUCCUUCUAAUUUUCAAAAUUACUAAAUUAAAGAUUUAUUAAUUUUAUUUAUUUAUUUAUCUUUUUUAUUUGUUUAAAUUUAAAAGAGAAAAAAAAAACACUUUAAUUUUUAUAAUUCAAUAUUUUUUCAUUUUUCUUAUAAAUUUAAACUUCUCAGAUGUUUAGACUUUUUUGUUUAGUUUUUUUUUAUAAAAUAAACUCAUGUAAUACGUGGGUCUCACACCUAGUCUAUCAACGAAAGUAUUUCCUCACAAUCAUUCUCAUGAAUUAGAGCGAAAACUUUGUCACCUAGGUUUUUAUGAGUGCAUACAUUCUCAUCCAUGUGAAUUUAUUAUUUCCAACCUACAAUCAUAAGACAAGGUUUAAGACAAAACCAAAUUCAAAUUUAGCUUUCCUUCAGGGACUGAAUUUCGCUAUUCUAAAUUUCUUGCCCUUUUGUAGCACAAGGGCCUACCAGUGCUUCCUUGUUGUUAGCAGCUUACCCACAUUGAUUAACGUAUUUUCACUGACCAACGUGCUUUUGCUUUUGUAGUUAAAUGAAAACAUAGAAGUCAUAGGCAUUGUCAACUCAUCUAGAAGUGCACAAAAAUAAGAAUGUGUCAAUCAAACACGAAAGUUAUCAACUUUAAGCCGCAUGCUAGUGAUAACCAAGAGGUUUAUUGUCGAUUGACUCUUGAAACUCUCAAGAUCAAUACGAUUCCUACUGACUUCUUGACAUAUAAGUUUUCUCUCAAGGAACAUUCCUUGACGAGCUAAAACAAAUAUUCAAAAGUUUGUGUGUAUUCUCGAAAAGAAAACACUUCAUAGAAUAAGUCUCGAUUUAUCUUUUAUUUUCUCGAUUAACGAAAACAUCACAACUCCAAUUUUAUAUGUGCUAGACUAAAAAAAAGAUUUUUACUCCACAUAUUUCAAGAUGUUUUCAACCUUUUUUAGUUUGGAAUUAGUUUCAAGAUACAAUUUAUAAUUAUUAGAGCAUGACUCUAAAACUUGAUUGAAACAAAGUAUGACUCGUCUUAUGAUCGAACCAUUUCCAACAACGUUUAAUUCCUCUUCUUAGUCAUAUAAUUGCACUAAGAUGUUCUUGGAGUAUUAAUUAUGAUACAAUUCAAUAAUUACUAAGAUGACCAUAAAACAUGAUACUAUUUUCACCCUUAAUUAAUUUUGGACGACAUUGAGGUAAAAACAAAGUAUAGAGUUUUAAGAAGAAAAUUGGUAAACUUAAGGGGCCUAUAAUGUAAACCUAACUUCACUAUAUUGUUUUGGGUCUUCUUGUUCGUAGUUUACUUCAGCACAGCCGGUUUCUUUCAAACGAAGGCGGAUCAAAGAUCUAGAGUCCUCUAAACCCCCAAAAUGGUAUGCAAUUUCUAGGGUUUUUAUUUUUCUCGAUCAGGUCUUCUAUUGAUCUUAUCGUCUUGUGAUCUAAUUAAUUCUCUUUUCCGAUUUCAUUUUCAAUUUGAAAGGUUCAAUCAGCAAAACCCAUAUCCAGCCCCGUCCCAGUCGUUUGGUACCCUUCAUUAGCUGUGCUGAUGCUCGCCGUUGGUCUUGUCAUCACCGCUUCUUUCUUCAUGUAAGUGGAUCGUACUUUUAUUUCACUCUGUGUCAAAUUUCGUAACGUAUCGAGAAAAUGUAGACAAUUUGCCCUGGUUAUACGAUGAUAAUUUAACUGGUUGACUAUUCUCACAAUCCGUUUGCAUUUUUGAUCGACUUUAUCAUGAUUAGUUCGUUAUAUUGGAUUCUGAUGAGAUGUGUUAAUUAGCCCCAAUCUCUUGAAACUUUAUAUUAUAGAUUUAAAGCACAAAAAUCAGACUUUGUUAUCCUUAAAUUACCCCCCUCGGUUACUGAUUACCGAAAAAGAAGCUUCAAUUUCUCUUUGAAGAAUCAAAUAUUACAGAUUCUAAGCGGAAUUAUGAUUCUAAAGAAUCCAAUGUUUCCUUCAAGACCUUAUUGGAAUAUGCAGACCAAAGAUAUAUGACAAAAUGAAUUUACUCAUAUACCUUUUAAUGUUCUUUUUUAUUCAAAAUUUCAAAUAAUCCAUGGAAAUGAAUUUUGUAACGACAUUUUUUUUCUAUGUUUCAUAACUUGUGCAGCUAUGAAGCAACAUCUUCCAGGAAAAGCCGUAGUCUUGCUAAAGAAGUUGUAACAGGAGCAGUGGCAUCUGUCUUUUUGGUAAGUCUCUUUUCAAUUGCUGUUCAAUCUUGUUUCUAAGGUUCUAGUUUUGUUGGAUGGAAUGGAAUGAGAAAGGAAUGGAAUGGAAUGAACAGGGUAAUGGAAUAAGCAAGGUAGUGGAAUGACUAAUGAGUCAUUACAUUCCAUAUCAUGUUUGGUUGGCUUUUAGGAAUGGAAUGAUUUAUCAUAUGAAUAUUUUACAUUAUGGGUAAAUAAUAUAUUAUUAUAUGGAAAGAAUCACAAAACAAACAACUCAUUUUUAUGUUUUUGUGAUGCAGGGAUUUGGAUCCUUGUUCUUGCUCCUUGCUUCUGGUGUUUAUGUUUGAGGAUGAUUUUUGUAUUUCAACCACCUUGUUAUUCUAGAACCCUAAUGGGGUAUCUUCUAAAUUGGAUCUUUUAGAAAUACAAUAUAUGUUUUCUACAGACAAUUUUAUGGUGAUAUAUUAACGUUAGCAGUUGAGGGAUUGUUUGUUUGGUAUGAUGGAAUGAAAGUCACAAAAGAAUGGAAUGGAAUAGUUCUUUACAUUCUGAUAUUAUGUUUGGUCGACUUGAAGGAAUGGAGUGAGUUGUUUAAAUAUGUUGUUUGUUAUGUACAAUUACAAACACCCUUCUCCAAUGUAAUGAAAGUGAAACCCAGAAGAAGGAAUCACAAUCAGCAUUCCAAGGAAUACACCAUUCCAUUCCGAUGUGGCAAACAUGCAUGAUUUUCCAAAUAUACCUUGAUGCCUAAUAUACACUUUUAAAAUACUACCAUACCAAUCAAAAGUUAUGUGAAACAAUAAUGUAACAAAUACAUGUAAACUUCAUGAACUAGAGUGUCAAUAAUCAACUACUUGGGACAUAAAAGUAAGGAAAACAAUAAAGUAUUGUAAAUGGCCUAGUUUUAGGAAUUAGGUAACUUAUAAAAACUGUUGCACUUUGUUGAUUUGAUUGAGAAAUAGUCUGAGUGUCAUGAUCCUAACCGACCACUUAUGUUGCACUUUGACUGAGAGGUACUAAUCGAACAACAAUUGAAAGUAAUAAUAAGACAAAUUUUCAAAAGGGGUCUAUAUGGUUUGUCAUUUUCUUUGGAUAACGUGCAAAUCGUUGAGAAAAUUAUGAAUUUGGUUAUUUGUGCGUAGUUUAAUUGCGAAUUUGGUUCCGUCAAAGAUAAAAAUACAAUUAUAUAUAUAUANAUGUGUAGACAGUGCUAUUAUGUGAGAAUGACAAAUAAAAUAUGUUGUUUGAUAAUGUGAAUACGUUCAAUCUUACAUAACUAUUGUCAUUAUAACACAUUCUUACUAAUUAAAUCGUCUAUAAGGUUAUUAUAGAUUUUUUUUAAUUAUUCUCAUUCUAUCAUAAUGUUGUCACAAUGUUUAUUAAGUUGUAUUCUAUCAGAAUGACAAUGAGUGAAAAACAAUACGUGAGAACAAAAAUAAAUAAAAAUUAGUGAAAAUGCAUAAAAAUAACAAUAGUGGUGUGAGUUUGAACGUAUUCGCAUUACUAAACAACCUAUUAUCUUACUAAUUUUCAUAAAAUAGCAUUGUCCACACAUACGCACAAUAGUUGUCCAUCUACAUUAUAACCUAGCCAUAUAUAUAUAUAUAUAGGGCUAGGUUAUAAUGUAGAUGGACAACUAUUGUGCGUAUGUGUGGACAAUGCUAUUUUUAUAAUAUUUCAUUAUAAUUAAAUAUAGAGUGGUCCCAACCCAAUCCACCCAACCAAUCGUAUCUCUCCUCAGUCUCACUCUCGCUCUCUCCCAUUUAUACAAAAACACAUACAUACAUACAUGCACUUUCAUUGAAGAACACCCCCUAUACUUUUUCUCUCUUUAAAUCUUUCAAUAGUGAUGACAUAAACAAACUUUUCGGAUCGAAACAUUUGAUGUCAUCCCAUCUAUACCUUUCUCUUUGUCAAGCUUCAUUGAGUUUGUAUCAAAGGGUUGUUUUCUAGAAACAGACCUUUAGGUACUUAAUUUGGAAUCCAAAAGACAUUUUUAUGUAUAAAUAGAUGGAGGCGGUAACAAAGCAAUGAUGGGCGAGUGAUAUUCUUCACAAUGAUUGGGAUGAUGUCAAUGAAUCCACCAUAAAUGAUUCAAAUUGUUCAUAAAAUCCCCUAUAGAUAAUCUUCAAAAAAGAAACAAAAACACCUUUACCUUAAUCAUAAUCAUCAAACUAAAAAGAAGUUGAUGUCUACGACAAUUAUGAUUCCAACUAUGUAAGUAAACCCAUAGUUUUGAAAUGAUGGUGGUGAUUUUGAUUUCUAAUUAAGAAUGAGUUUUUCUAUUGAGUCUUGAGAUGUUGCUUAAAGAGAUAAGAGACGAUUGUAGAAUGGUCAUGUUACUGUAAAACCUUAGUUGCACCCCUGCCUCCUAUAAUUUCCAAGUUGGUGUGAUUUUAUUUCCUACAAUCUAAGAUUUUUCAUAAGCUUAAUUUGAUUGAUUUUGUGUGGUUUUGUCAUUUUCGUUGUUGUAGAUAUUUACAACUUUCCAUACUCUAUAAGCUUAAAAUAUAUUUGCUUGAUUAAGGUUAUUUUUCAUUAAUUUGAUUUUGUUAAUUUGUUUAAUUCACAAGUUUGAUUUCUUCAAAUCAUUUCUUGAUUUGUUUAAUUCACAAGUUUGGUUGUAUUCACUAUUUUGAUUAUUUUUGUCAAUUUGUUUCUUUAAAUUGUUGCUUGAAUUUGUUUUCUUCAAAUUAUUUGUUGAUUAAUUUGAUUUUUUUCUUUUUGUUUUGUUGUUUCCACUCAAGAUGGAUUAUCUAGGGUUUAUUUGUGCAAGUGUCUAUAUGUGUGUUUGUUUAUGGUUAAUGCAUAUUUUGAUUUAAGAUGAGAAAGAGAAAAUAAGACAAAGGUUGAGAGAAAAAUAUAGAUAGAGAGAGAAAGAAAGGGAGAAGGGAGAGAGGGUUGGAGGUUGUAGAUCCAUUCUAUAUCAAAUAAAGUAAUAAUUAGACAACAUUACAUAAAUGUUCCCAGUGGUCUGGCAUAAUAGGCUAAUGCGGUCCAACUUUUAUUGUUAGAACGCAGUCCCUAUAGUUUAAGCUUAUUACACCGCUCAUCCAUUUGUUCUUAAACUAACCAUAAAGCAGUCAAAUUCUUAAAAAAACGACAUUUUACCCUUUUAUUGAUUAAAAAUAAAUAAACAUUUGACAUUACCCUAUUUCAUCGUCUUAUCCCUUCUCCCUUUCACCGCCACCGACUUUGUCAUUCAUCUCUCUCGCCGACAUCCAACGACGACUACCCAUCCUUAUCCUCGUCUCCUUUCCCUUAUUUCUUGUAUCUUAUAGUCACUACCCCAUUAGAAAAUCCUAUCCACCAUUACUUCCCUACCGCAUACCACCAAUGUCUGAAUCAUCGGCAUUGGAACCCCACCGCAUACUUCCGUAUGAAAACCUAUAUAUCCUUCAACCUAGAAUGAAGUUUCAGAGAGGCGAUAUGGUAAAAAUUUAUCCUACAAGACCAUGUUUUGAAGACGCUUAGUGCAUAUCAAAUGUCACACCCCCAAAUCGAGACGACGGAAAUAUUCGGGGGCGGAGGACGUCAUGUACAGUAUCAUAACAAUUGCAUAAUAGUAAAACAAGCAACAACAUCCAUUGUAUUGAAAAUAUAAUUAAUACGUUUGUGUUCUUAGUAUUGAUUGCAUGACACCAAAAUAUAUAGCAAAAUAAAAUACGAGUCUUGAAUAUGCCCCGUCUUCUCAAAAACUUGAGUGGGUGUACCUGUCUACUGGUUCUGUGAGAAUACAAGUUAUUUUAAAAAGAGAGUAUCAACAUUUAAGUUGGUGAGUUCAUAAGAAUUUAGUAUUAGAAAUCUAUCUUUGUUUCAUGAAAAUGUUAGUGUGUUGUUCCAGAAAAUCCAAUAUUUUCUAUAAUAAAUGAAGUGUAGUCUUAUGCCUUAAGACCAAAAUGUUUACAUGUUAUUGUACUCUAAAAUAGUAUAAGUGUAUGUUUUCCAUAAAUGUAUGCUUACUUUGCUAGAAAAUAGUGUAUUGUACUUAUAUGAACUCUAUUGUGUACAAGUACUGGAAAAUAAUGAUAUGUAGUCUUAUUACUUAAAAUAAAACCACUGAAGUGAUGUUUGGUUGGUAAAACAAAAUGUUUAAUUAAUGUUUAAUGUGAGUGAGAUUAUAACCAUACUAAAAUGACUAGUGACUUGCACGAUGUUCUUUAGGCGUCGGAAUGUUAUGACAUUUGUUACCCCAGAUUUGUCGGUCUAACUAUAGCUAACAACUUAGGUGUAUGAUUGUCAGUAUCGUAUAGAUCUAUACACAAAUUCACACUCUCCCUCAAAGAGACUCUGGUUAUACUUUAGGACUUUUUGCAUGUACUCUACUAGGUACCAUGAAGUAGUGGCUUACAUUUUAGUAUUAACUCGUUUACGUAUAGUUUGUACAUGUUUUCUUGUUCUUGUAAAUGAAUAGUGUACUCGUAGUGAAAAGUAAUUAUACUUAUCUAAUUAUUCAUGUGAUGUACCCUUGAACUAGAAAAUAGUGUGAAUUGAUCCCUAAACUAUACCUAUAAUAGUUUAUAAGUUGUUAUGUUAGUGCUGAAAAUGAUUAAGGAAAAUACCCCUUUGCUCGACAUUUUACAAAAGGUAUAAAAAUUGUUAUUGAAAUAAGUUUUAUACUUAUAUAUAUGUAUGUAUAUAUAUAUAUAUAUAUAUANGAAUUCAAGAAAUAAUAAACAAUUAAAUAAAUCAUUUAAGGGUAUUCUGGACAUUUUGUACUUUUUAAUUAAGGAAUCAUUUAAUUGAAAUCUUGCAAUUAAGGAAAUAAAAUUAAUAAUUUUGACCUAGUCUCUCUCUUGCAUCGUGUCUUAUAUUCAAGGAAUUACCAAGAUGAAUGAUCGACACCCCACAACAGAAUUGAUCAAGACCUUGAUUUCUUCUUUCUUCUUCCAGUCGACACACAUCACAGAUAGAAGGAGUCGAUCACUUCUUCGUUUUUUCUGAUGCGCACACACGAGAUGGAGAAGAGAAACGUACGACCCCUUUUCUUCCCUCCUGACGAUCGAUUCUUGAUCUCGCAUAAUCCUAAUCAAUAUGUGACGCUCUCAAUUCGUACAGGUAUAUUUGAAUAUUGAAUCCAUUUAUGCUUUUUUUUCUUCGAUCGUAUGGAAACCGAACACAGGAGAUAUACCCUCCUGUGUAACUCAUUUGAUGUUGAUGAUGCUGAAUUGCUUUUUUUUCAUUCAUGAUUCAUAAAAAAUAUGGUGAUUUCGGGAGCGCCCUUAAAGUGUUUGAUGAAAUGCCAAAGAGAAAUAUGACAAUCUCACAUUGUAUACAUGGUUAGUGAUGGAAUCACCGGUUAAUGAGGAGAUGCUGGUAAGUUUACAUGAACUUUAUUGAUCUUUGAUUAAGUUUUUUGAGUUGGGUUUUUGUAAUUUUUUAUUUUUUUCAGAAAUUCAGAGACACCAUUCUUUGAUGGCAGAGAACUUGUAGCUGGAAGUAUUGAUGAUUCAAUCUAUGUUUAUGAUGUUGAAGCAAACAUCUAUCCUGAUCAUAGAUUUGAUGUUGAAGCAAACUGACUUUUCCUUAUGUUUAUGAUGUUGAAGCAAACAGACAUAUGGGCUGAUCAUAGCUUUGACCUUGUUUACCUUUUUAUAAUAUUUCCAUUCUGAAAGAAUAGUUUAUUAUAUAAGAAUAUUAUUGCUUUAUUCUGAUAGAAUUUGUAGUUAAUUAAUUAUAUGUUUAAUGUGCAGUUGUUACAAGUGUAUCACUACAAAGUAUUUGACAAUGAAUUUGUGAUAGAAAUGGCUUGAAGAAUGGCUUGAAGACCUGAUGGGAAAGGCUCCUUGUAUAAAAUCAAUCUCAUGCAAUACAAUUCUGACAGAAUGUCAAUGUCACAAAAUGUCAAUCUCAUAGAAUGCUAGCAUAUUUUGAAUUGGCUUAGAGGUCAAACAUACACAAGACAUCUAGAAUGUUGUUAUUUUUUAAGAAUUAUACUUGGUAUUCUUUCAGAAUGUUUGUUAUAAUUCAAUGAAUCACAAUCGUACAAUGUAAUUAUUUGGUAUAUUAUUAGUUCAAGAAUCGAUUUUGUGUAUUCUUUCAGAAUAUAUUUACUAGUUUAUGGUUGACAUUCUGUCAUUCUGACAGAAUAAAAUCGAAAAAUAUGUUUACUACUUUAUGGUUAAAAUUCUAUCAUUCUGACAGAAUAAAAAUCGGAUUUUUAAUUUUAAAUUAAUUUAAAAUAUUUAGAUUUUUAAAAAUAAAGGAAUUAAUUAUCCCUAAAAAUCCGAAAAUUUCCUUUUUUAAUAUAGGUUAAUUGACUAGAAUGCCCUUAUGCUCAAAUUUGUGUGAUUAUAUGGUACAUGUUAUCCUAUUCUACUAUCAUAGACCCUCAGAUCAUGACCUUUGAUUAUAUUCCAUCCAAUGGUCCAGAUCUGUGCAUUCUGGCACACAAUAGUUACUAAAAACAAAAUAACCUAACCCUAUAUAUAUAUAUNNNNNNNNNNNNNNNNNNNNNNNNNNNNNNNNNNNNNNNNNNNNNNNNNNNNNNNNNNNNNNNNNNNNNNNNNNAUAUAUGUUUGUGUGUGUGUGUAUGUAGCUUUGAUAAACGCAACAAUUUAAAUAUUUGAAAACAGCUUAGAAUGGUUUGACAUAGUUUAUAAAGGUAUUAAAUAACUUGAAAUAAUUUGUAAUUGUUUUUAACUGUUAACACAAAAUACUUUGUGUUUUGCUGGUAUUCUCCCCCUAAAAACAUUGAAAAAUAGUAAAACGCAAGGGUAUGAACUCACCUUAAGUGAGUGAUCAAGAGGGGAUACGGUGUAGUAGUGAUGAUAUUCGAGUUAGAAUCCGUAUAAAUAUAUGUAUCCUAAUAGUUGUUAACGCAUAUAAUAUGUGUAUAAUUAGUGGAAAUGAUAGUAAAUGUGUUAUGGAAUAGUGAAUUUUUAUAAGAUUCAUUUUUGAAAAAGAAGUAUUAGAAAAUUACCGAAGGAAUGAUAGGCGUUUUCGGUGUGCCUGGGUGAUUUCGGUUGCUUGAAGAUGUGAAGGAUGUUCUUGGUGGAAAUAAGGAGAUUAGGGUGUUUUCGGUUGAUAUUAUGAAGAUUGGAUGGUGAUUUCGGUUGAUAUCAAGAACACUUGAAGAUUUUGGCAAGAAUCUUAUGAAGAUUCAAGUGUUUUCGAAUGAUACUUGAGAGAAAAGAUGAUGAUUUCAGACUAGUUUUUGAGAGAAAAAGGGAGGUUUUCGGUUAUAAACUGUGAGAAUGAGGAUGUGUUUCUGAUUUUUGAUUAUAUAUUGGAUUAAUAGUUGAUGUGAUAUAUGUAUAUGUGUAAUAUCACUUCGCAAUGUGUGCUAAAGGAUAGAAUUUAGGAGAUUUUGGUGUGGAACUCUACCCGAGAAAAGGAGAUUUCGUGCGAGAAAGGGUUUGCGGUCCGAAGAAAUCAGCUUCGCACGUUUGCGGUGUUGACCGCAAACAUGAUUGCGGUCCGAGGGGAGGGCAUCCAUGCGAAGGUUUUUGAUGGGGAUUUCGGUCCUCGCGUUUGGUUCAUAUUUUUGCAACACUUAUCCAAUAAAAGGUUUAUAUAUAUUAAAAUAUUAGUUUGGCCUUAAUAAAUUAAUAAAUCAACAAAUUUGACUUUUAUUUCGCAAGUUUGACUUUUGUUGACCUUGGUUGACUUUUGUUGACUCUUUACUGAUUUGAAAAUAACGGGUUGUCACAUCAAACAUCAUCUCAUAUUUAUCAAACAAAGAGUUCAUUAUCCAAUUCAUACCCUUAUCACCAAAGAUGGUUUUGGCUCCUUAGAGAGAUUGUCUUCGUCGAUAAAAUCUCUCCAGUUCCUCCUUAUAUUCUGGUAUUCGGUUUUUCAAAGUUCAAUAUUAUUGAUGCCAACCAUAGGGAUAUGGUGGGUGGGCAAGAUUAUCAAGAAAAAAAGGUUCGUAUUAUUUGGACUAUUUUUAGCAUCCAAAUGAAGAGAAUUUGUUUCCUUUUGAUUAAUUAAGGGUUCAUUAGGACCAAUUGGAGUGAGAUGAUUGUGUUUGGGUAUAUGAAAAAAAUGGGUAGAUUAUCACUUAGACCUAUUUUGUUUGUAUAUCAUAUCAACCUACUUUUUAUCUUUAUAUAAUAACAAUAAAAUUUAUAAAUUUACACAACAAAUAUACAUAUUUCAAAUUUUGUAAUUUUAUUAUACCUUACAAAAUACAACUCCAUCCAAAAUAAUUUUCGCCAGUAAUUUCAUCCAUAAUUUCACUAAAUUUAAAUUUGUAUUUUCUUUAUAUAAAAUUUUUUAAUGAUCCUGAUUUUUCUUUCUCCAAAAGUAUAUAAACCAUUUAAGUCUUAGAUAAUGCUGCCCCAUUAUAAUUAUUACUUUCCAAAAAUAUAUUCGUUUAAUGAGUAAUUUGAUAUAAUGAAGGAAGUAAAUGUUAAUUAAAAUGAUAUAUAUAUUCCAUAAUUAUUACAUGGGUUUAUUAAAAUAAUUAAUAUCAAGCUGUAAACAUUAAUCUCUAAAUAUUAUUAAAAGAUAAACCUUAUGAUAUCAUAUUAAAUAAUUUGGACCAUUGAUUUAUUUCAAUCUUAUUUUUUCCACCCUUACAUCAAAUUACUGACAUCAUCUUCCCCAUAUGGAUGUAUUUAAUUCCAAUAAAUGCUUUCCAAUCGUCAAAUAAUAACUUAUAUUCGUUGAAAUGGAAUGUAUUUAAUUCAAAUAAAAGCUUUCCAUAUUUAAAAUCUUGAAUUUUCGGUUAUGAAGAUUUUAAUAUGGUCAAUUUUAAAAGCAUAUUACUAACAACUCGUUUCAAUCAAAACAUUAAUAUCAAUCAUUAGUAUAAAUCCGUUUAUAUUAGUAAAUCAUUAAUAUAAAAUCUAUCUUUAUUAGGAAAUCAUUAAUACCGAAAAAUCAUAUUUAAAUUAUCACAUACAUAUACGAUUCAUCUUUGAAUCUGCGGCACACACUUAUUUUCAGUUGUUUCUUUUCUUCAAACAUUCUCCUACAAUAUCAUUAUUAUUGCUUAUAACUUUCAUCAUCAUUUUCUGCUUCAAACAUUCGCUCUUGUGCACUAGAAGGUCAGUACCUUCUUUCGUUUUUUAUUUUUUUUUUUUUCGAUUAUUUUUUUGUUCACAUAUCAAAUAUAUGUAUUCAUAUAUUUCGAUUUUCUUUGUCACAAAUUAUAUGAAAUCAGUUAACUACUUUUAUGAAACUUUUCAAAUAAACAGGAAAAGAUAUUACGUACCUUUAACAAAACAUAAAUUAACUAUUUUGGAAACUGACAUUAACUGGGAAAAUGCUACUUUUAUAUAUUAGAAAUGAUUAUGAUUUUUUUUUAAUUUUUAUGUCAUAAGAAUCCGGUUAAUUUUGACAUGAUUUUAAAAUAUCAUUGAAAUUAUUAUGUUUUUGUAUAUCAUAUCAACCUACUUUUUAUCUUUAUAUAAUAACAAUAAAAUUUAUAAAUUUACACAACAAAUAUAUAUAUUUCGAAUUUUGUAAUUUUAUUAUACCUUACAAAAUACAACUCCGUCCAAAAUAAUUUUCGCCAGUAAUUUCAUCCAUAAUUUCACCAAGUUUAAAUUUGUAUUUUCUUUAUAUAAUAUUUUUUAAUGAUCCUGGUUUUUUUCCUCCAAAAUUAUAUCAAACAUUUACGUCUUAGAUAAUGUUGCCCCAUUAUAAUUAUUUACAAAUAUUGUAUAAAGAUUAUAAAAAAGAUAUAUGGUUAUUGGUAUUAUUGAAAUGUGUAGAAAAUACAUUGAAAACGAUAAAUAUCUAUAAUCAUUGAAGGACCUUUUUGUAGACAAUAUUUUUUGUAUUAUUAGUUAAACGACAUUCCUCGUCUCAUAUAGUUAUGCUAUUGUUAUAUAAUAAUAAACAUUUUAAUUAGACGUUCUUUCUAUAAUAAAGUUAUCUAAUUUAAACAUAUAUUGACAACCAAUUUAUUUGGUGUUCGCAAAAACUUUGCAUUAGUUUUGACGCAACAUUGAAUAAUUUUAGUAUAUCAUUAAUGUAAUUUGAUAUAUCUUUUAAUUAUAUCAAAUAAAGACAUUUCAUUACUAUUGUGCUAAUUAAGUUUAUAUAUUGUAUUUUUACUAAUCGUAACGGUCUUAUUUUUCUAAUAACCGUAACGUUUUUACUGAUUGUAUUUUUUACAAAUCUCCUAAUAUCUUAUAAUUUUUAUCUUACUUUAUAUUUUUUCAUAACGAUGUUAUUUUCAAGAUUGACUGUCUUAAUAGUUUUUUUCUUCAGUAUACUCAAUUUUAUAUUUCAUUGUACAACAUCAUCGUUUGUAUGUAUUCUGAAAUUUCACUUUAAAAAUGUUUAAUGUUUACACCUUGAUAUUAAUUUUUUUUAAUAAACCCGUGUAAUAAUUAUGGAAUAUAUAUCUCAUUUUAAUUAACAUUUACGUCCUUCAUUAUAUCAAAUUAUUUAUUAAAUGGAUAUAUUUUUGGAAAAUAAUAAUUAUGAUGGGGCAGCAUUAUCUAAGACGUAAAUGUUUAAUAUACUUUUGAAGGAAAAAGAUCAGGAUCAUUACAAAAAUUUAUAUAAAGAAAAUACAAAUUUAAAUUUGAUGAAAUUAUGGAUGCAAUUACUGGCGAAAAUUAUUUUGGAGGGAGUUGUAUUUUGUAAGGUAUAAUAAUAUUAUAAAAUUCGAAAUAUGUAUAUUUGUUGUGUAAAUUUAUAAAUUUUAUUGUUACUAUAUAAAGAUAAAAAAGUAGGUUGAUAUGAUAUACAAAAACAUAAUAAUUUCAAUGACAUUUUAAAAUCAUGCCAAAAUUAACUGGCUUCUCAUGACAUAAAAAUUAAAAAAAAUCAUAAUCAUCUCUAAUAUAUAAAAGUAACAUUUUUGUAAUUAAUGUCAGUUCUCAAGAUAGUUAAUUUCUGUUUUGUUAAAGGUACGUAAUAUCUUUUCCUAUUUAUUUGAAAAUUUUCAGAAAAACAGUUAACUGAUUUCAUGUAAUUUGUGACAAAGAAAAUCGAAAUAUAUGAAUACAUACAUUUGAUAUAGGAACAAAAAAAUAAUCGAAAAAAAUAUAAAAAACGAAAGAAGGUACCGACCUUCUAGUGCACAAGAGCGAAUGUUUGAAGUAGAGAAUGAUUAUGAAAGUUAUAAGCAAUAAUAAUGAUGUUGUAGGAGAAGGUUUGAAGAAAAUAAACUAUUGAAAAUAAAUAUGAGCCGCAUAUUCAAUGAUAAAUCGUAUAUGUAUGUGAUAAUUUGAAUAUGGUUUUAUGGUAUUAAUGAUUUUCUAAUAAAAAUAGAUUUUAUAUUAAUGGUUUACUAAUAUAAACAAAUUUAUAUUAAUGGUUGAUAUUGAUAACUUGAUUGAAAUGCUUUGUUAGUAAUAUGCUUUUAAAAUUGACCAUAUUAAAAUCUUCAUAACUGGAAAUUCAAAAUUUAAAAUAUAGAAAGCUUUUAUUAGAAUUAAAUACAUUCCAUUUCAACGAAUCUAAGUUAUUGUUUGACAAUUGGAAACCAUUUAUUGAAAUUAAAUACAUUUCAUAUGGAGAAGAUGAUGUCAACAAUUUGAUCUAAGGGUGGAAAAAAUAAGAUUGAAAUACAAUCAAAGGUCCAGAUUAUUUAGGAUGAUGUUAUAAUGUUUCUCCUUUAAUAAUAUUUAGAGAUUUGAUAUAAUGAAGGAAGUAAAUAUUAAUUAAAAUGAGAUAUAUAUAUUUCAUAAUUAGUACACAGGUUUAUUAAAAAAAAAUUAAUAUCAAAUUGUAAACAUUAAACAUUUUUAAAGUGAAAUUUAAGAAUACAUACAAACGAUGAUGUUGUACAAUGAAAUAUAAAAUUGAAUAGACUGAAAGAAACUAUUAAGGCACAACAGUUACUAGAAAGUAAGAUAAAAAUUAUAACAUAUUAGGAGAUUUGUAAAAAGUACAAUUAAUAAAAGCGUUACGGUUAUUAGAAAAAAUAAGACCCUUAAGAUUAGUAAAAAUACAAUAUAUAAACUAAAUUAUCAGAAUAGUAAUGAAAUGUCAUUAUUUGAUAUUUCAUAUAAUUGAAAAAUAUACCAAAUUACAUUGAUGAUAUACUAAAAUUAUUCAAAGUUACGCCAAGACUAAUACAAAGUUCUUGCGAACACCAAAUAAAUAAGAAACAAACAUAAAAGCUAACAUAUAUAUUGAUAAUCAAUUUAAAAUAAACUAAUCAUGAUUUAGGAAAUAAUCUCCAUUGAUGAUAUACCAAAAUUAAAUCCACAUAACAUUUAACAUUCUAUAAAUUAUAUUAUAUAACUUUAUUUAAAUAAAUGAAAUAAUUGUCAAUAUUUAGUGCAGUGGAAAAAACGGUAUAUUGGUUGUCAAUAUAUGUUUAAAUUAGGUAACCUUAUUAUGAAAAGAACGUCUAAUUAAAAUGCUUAUAAUUAUAUAACGAUAUCAUAACUAUAUGAGACGAGGAAGAUCGUUCAACUAAUAAAACAAAAAGUAUUGUCUACAAAAAGUCAUUCAAUGGUUAUAGAUAUUAAUCGUUUUCAAUAUAUUUUCUACAUAUUUUAAUAAUACCAAUAACACAAUAUAUAUAUAUAUAUAUAUAUAUANNNNNNNNNNNNNNNNNNNNNNNNNNNNACGUGAGCUAUAAUCUAGUAUAAAUAGAAUAAUAGAAAAAGAAAUAAAAAUUAAAUACAUAAAAGAUAUAGUAGUCUUUUAAGUUUGUCAUUUUUAAGUUUUGACAAAAUCCAAUCCACAACUAAAUUAGGCAAAAAUAUUAAAUUCAUAACUUUUUUAAUGUUUGUUCGGAUCUUAACCAAAGAAGACAAACCACAUUCACAUUUUUGCAAUUUUUUACAAUAAUGAUAUUAAUUAAAAUAUAAAAGAAGGUUAUUUAUAAAGAUUAACAUAAUAUAAUUCUCCUGGUUAAAGUUUGAUACCAAAAACCAAAUAAAAAUCUGUCAUAAAAAACAUUUUUAUAAAUAUAAUCCUUUUUAGAUAAUAAACAAAAAUACACAACACAACAAAAAAAACAUUUCUGCAGUUUACCGUAUAUGUUACUAUAUAUUACUGUGCACUGGUCCAACUCGGACUGAGUUUCUCUACCCUGGUUGGUAGGUCCCUUACCUCUCAAAGCUUUUUAGAGAGAGAAAUAGGGUUUUAGAGAGAGAAAACCCCAAGGGUUUUAAACUUCCACAAAGAACCAAUAAUUCAAUGGAAGAAGCUUCGUCGCCAUUGUCGCAACCUAAAAAGAGAGGAAGGCCGAAGGGCUCCAAGAAGGUCAUCGCUGAAGAAAGAGAAAUUUCAAGUCCUAAGAUGAGAGACAGAGCUACAGCUGCCGGAAACAAAAAGGCCGCCGUUGUCGACGAUAAGUACAAUAACUGGAAGUUUGUAGUCCCCAUUCUGUAUGACUGGCUUGCUAAUCACAACCUCGUUUGGCCUUCUCUCUCUUGCCGGUAUGAAUUUUUUCAAACUUACGAUCGAUUAGAUCCCAAUGCCCCAUGAUUCGACUUGAUUUUUAAAAUGGUACAAAAAAAACCCUAGAAUGUCUACUAGUUUUUCAGUUCUUUCGAGCACUUCCAUGGUCCACUGGAUCAUUUUGUGCAUCGAUAGUUCAUAUAAGCUUUACUACCUUGCAAAAAGGCUACAGAAAACAUCGUAAUUUAUGUAGGUUUUGAUUGUUGCUUGUAUCAUUUGUGCAUCAAUUAUUCUGUUUAUGUGAAUAGAUGGGGUCCGCUGCUGGAACAAUCGAAGAACAAGAGUAGGCAGAGGUUGUAUCUUUCGGAACAGGUUAGAUUAGCAGUCUUCUUUCUCCUUUUUUUGGUUUUUAGUUUCAUCCCGCCAUUAAUGGUGCUUCUUAUUUAGACUGAUGGCAGUGUUCCAAAUACACUAGUAAUAGCAACAUGUGAUGUAGUGAAGCCAAAAGUUGCUGCAGCAGAACACAUAUCUCAGGUAAAAAGAAAAGUUUUUUUUACUCAAUUUUAUCAUCUUCUUCUUCCUAUUUCUUUUCAGUAUUCUUUAACCGGUUAUGUGAUUUCUUCUUUUAGUUCAAUGAAGAAACUCGCUCUCCAUUUGUAAAAAAGUACAAAACCAUCAUUCAUCCUGGAGAGGUAAAAAUCAUAUACACAACCCGAAUCAAUCAUUUAACACUAUCAAAACAUGUCUUUUCCCUCAUCUAUAUAACCAUUUUUACAGGUGAACAGAAUUCGGGAACUUCCACAAAACAAGAACAUUGUUGCUACACAUACAGAUUGCCCAGAGGUUACAAUCAUGAAUCACCUUGCAUACACUUUUAUGACAAUAACAAAGUUUCAUGUGAAAUUCCUAAAAUACCCUCAUGUUUAUCCAAUUCAGGUCCUCAUUUGGGAUAUUGAAGCACAACCUAAUCGUCAUGCUCUUCUUGGAGCUGCUGUAUCUCAUGCUGAUUUGGUCUGUUCCAAAUUAGUAUUAUUUCCUAAUUUAUAUUAGGAGAAUCAAAUAUUCAAAUGAAUCUAGUUAUAUUAUUUAUUUUCUUUUUAAAUUUCUUUCAGGUGCUUACAGGACAUGCAGAUAAUGCAGAAUUUGCUCUUUCAAUGUGUCCAACUGAACCUUAUGUACUCUCUGGAGGUGAAAAGAUUCAUAAUUCUUUAAACAACUAAUAUAAAUUUAUAACCAAUUAAAAAAUCCCAACUUUUUUUUAUAUUUUUUUUACAGGAAAGGAUAAACUAGUUGUUUUAUGGAGUAUUCAUGAUCAUAUAUCAACAUUGGUUGGAGAAUCAAACACAACCAAUUCUUCAGGGUCAAUUGUGAAAACUUCUGAUAAUGCUUCUCUUGGCCCACGUGGGAUCUUUGAAGGGCAUACAGAUACAGUUGAAGAUGUCCAGUUUUGUCCCACAAGGUAACUUUUAUAAAAUACCUACAAAUUUCAACUUUUAUAUAAUAAUUUGAUUUUUGUAUUCAACUUUCUGUAUGUUUGUAAAGUACACAGGAAUUCUGUAGUGUUGGAGAUGAUUCUUGCUUGAUACUUUGGGAUGCAAGAGUUGGAACAAAUCCAAUCACAAAGGUUUGUUUCAAUUUUUAUUUUUACAUUUUUUAUUUUUAUAUUUAUAAUUUCUUUAAAAUAGGUUGAAAAAGCACAUAAUGCUGAUGUUCAUUGCGUUGAUUGGAGUCCUCAUGAUGCAAACUAUAUUCUAACAGGGUAAACCCUAAAACCCUAAAACCCUAAAAAAAAACCUAAAUACCCUAAAAACCCUAAAAACAGUAAACCCUAAUUGUGUAAUUUUUUCAGGUCAGCUGACCAUUCUGUUUGUAUGUUUGACCGGAGGAAUUUGGUUUCUGAUGGAGUUGGAUCUCCUGUUCAUAAAUUUGAAGAACACAAAGCUCCUGUUCUUUGUGUUCAGGUAUUCAAUUGGAAAUUUACUUUUUUGCCCUUUCUUUUUGAUUUAUAUUUAGAAACUCUUUGUAUGUUUUGUAGUGGUGUCCAGACAAGCCUUCUGUGUUUGGGAGUUCAGCUGAGGAUGGUUGUGUUAAUAUUUGGGAUUAUGAACAGGUAAAAAAAAGUUCAAAGUAUUUUUUUAUUUUUAUUAUUUUUAUUUUUUGUUUUGGUUUAUGUUGACUUUGUAUAUAAUUUUGUAUUAUAUUUAUGAUUGUUGAAGGUUGGACAAAAGAUAGAACGCGGAACAAGAUCUGCAAACUAUGCUCAAGGGUUGUUCUUUAAACACUGCGGACACAGGUUUAAUUUUUUUUUAUUUUAAUUAGGAUUAUAAAUAAUUAAAACAUGUUACAUUAAUAUGAUUACAAAAAUUAUUGUUAUAUAUAAUUCAGGGACAAAGUGGUGGACUUUCAUUGGAAUGCUUAUGAUCCAUGGACUGUUGUGAGUGUAUCGGAUGAUGUUGAAUGCUCAAGUGGUGGUGGGACCCUUCAGGUAUAUUUAUUUAACUUUUAUUUAAUUUAAUAUUGAAUAUUUUGAAGAAGAGAAAUAAAAAAGUUGAUGGUGUUUGUUGUGUAGAUAUGGCGCAUGAGUGAUUUGAUAUACAGACCAAGGGAUGAAGUGUUGAGUGAGUUAGAGGCUUUUAAGGCUCAUGUUGCUAGUUGUGGUCCAAGGGCAUCAUCAUAGGAUACAGGAUGACUGUUUUGUUUGACUUAAGCUUAGAUUUUUCUGGAUGGUUUGACUUUGGUUGACUUUGGAUGUUUGUUGAAACCUAUGAAGAAGGAAAGUAAGUAGUAGGGGGAUUUAUCUUUUAUUAUUUUUGGGUGAAUUUUAUGUAAGAUUGCAUAUGGUUAUGAAUGACUAUUGACUAUGUGUCUGUCUGUAACGGGCUUUUUAUAGACCGGAAAAUGACUUGUUUUACAUGGAAUUUUUAAGUUUAGUUUUAUUAUUAUUAUUAUUUAUUUUGAAACGGCAAAUAAUAUUAAUAGGCAAAAGUAAAUACUAAAAGGAAAAUACAAAUUAAAAGUGAUUAAAAGGUGAACAACACUAACUAGCCCAUGAGCCACAGUUUGUAUGACUCCUGCAUUUAACCCACGAACGCUGUUUUUGUUGGAGAGCACCUACAUCUUUUAAAGACCACAUCAUUUAUGGCCAACCAAACGCCAAAUAAGACAGAAGAAUAUUGAGCUUAGGAUCCCUCUUUUACGUGGACAGUUGCCAUAUGAAGCCGCAAAGUCGAUGAACUCGAGAGUACUGGUGAAAUGAGCAGGUUGCAAACCACACCAUUUGAAAAUCCAAUCUUGCACAUUCCUAGUGAACUCGCAGCUAGAGAAAAGGUGAUUCGCUGUCUCCGACUCAUUAUCACAUAGAGCACAACAUGGAUUGUUCACUUUGAUUCCUCUAACAACCAAUGUGUCAGCCAUCGGAAUUCUAUUUAAAAAUGUUCGCCAUACAAAACAUCUAACCUUUAAUGGAAUGGUACUGGACCUGUAUAUGAGUACAAUUUGGAAUCAAUUAACCUUCUUAUGGAAUCCACUGUAUAUCUACCAUCUUGAUUUAUAGUGAAACCGCAACCCAAAUUUGUGUCGGUAGGAACCUCCAUGUCGCCUAUGGCUGAGUAGAGUUGUAAGAGUUCUGUGAGAGCAGCUUUGUUUCUCGGAUCCUGUUUCCAACGCCAUGAGAAACCGUUGGCCGAAAUUCUUUCCUCAAUCAAGCAACAUUUCCUUUUUUCAAGGCUAUAGAGAAUUGGGAAUCGAGCUUGGAAGGUACGAUUUCCACACCAAAUAUCUUUCCAAAAGAGUAUGUUGAUAUUGGGACCCGAGACUAAUCAGAAAUAGUCGCUGUGAUGGAUGCCAACAGUAUCUAGGUUAUUUAUUGCUUUAUAAAUCUUGCACCAGACUCCUUGUGAAUAUUUUCGAGCUAUGUAUGUUACCGGUCUCAUCUUUAGGUUAUGAAUGCUCCCGAUUACUUUUUUCCACAAACUCUCCUCACCAUUGUAUAAUCUCCACCACCAUUUUGUUAGUAAGGCCAAAUUUUACGCCUUAAGCGAUCCCACCCCAAGGUCACCGUGUUUUUUUUUAUCGACAAUAACCUUUUACCAAUCCACCCAAUGAAUUUUCCCAUUCUGAUCAUCUCCACCCCAAACGAACAAAAAACUAAUUAGGGACCAAAUAUGGUGGAACCAAUUAGUUAAUUUAGUUAACCGUGAUAUUAACUCUUUUUUUAAUGUUAUUUCAUUAUAAACAUAACAUUUAUCAAAAUGUCUAUACGUACACACCACAAAGGGAGAAACAUGGCACAAAACAAAUCUAACCAAAUUUCAUAUAUUUAUUUAUUUAUAUUUCACUACAAAUUCAAACAAAAAAAAAAACUUUGAAAAUUUAAGCUAUGAACAUAAACCAAAAACCCUAUAAGAUUUCAAAAUUUUGCUCUUACUCUUUUUUUUUUAUUUUUAUUUUUUAUUUUUUGAAGUUAUAAAUAUAAUCAAAUGUGAAUCCAUAAAUAGCAUCAAUUCAUUUUGCUUUGAAUUUGUCGAUGAACAUGCACAAGAAACUCAACAUAUGAUAGACCAUUUGGAGACUUGUCUUCCACCAUAUACGAAAAGAACAACAUUCCUGAAAUUAUAUAAAAAAAAAACUUAGAUUAAAAAUUUAAAUGGUUUUUAAAAAAAUGUUACACUGCGGGCUUUGUAAAAUGAUGAAAAUGUUACCUGAUUGAUCUCCUUUCUUGCAUAAUUUCAUGCUGCAAGAACGAAAAAUAAUUUUAGGAAUAUAAAUUAAUUUUAAUUAAUUGGGACACAAGUCACAUAACACGUACCGAAGGUAGUUACAUCUUUGGCUUCUUAUUUCAUUUAUAACCUCAUUUAGCUUCUUUGACAAAGGAUUACCAUACUGUUGUAACACAAACUGAAUAUAAAAAUGAAACAAAUUACAAUCAAGUAAAACGACUAUAUUGCUCUUUAUUAUUUUUUUUUUUAGAAAAAAAAAAAAAAAAAAAGGAAGCUUACCUGGGUAGGAAUUUCAUCAAGCGAAGAAACGCCAAAGAGUUUGCGAAUUAUAUCAGGAUCUACAGAGUUUCCAAUAUAAACUAAACAAUCUUCACCAUUUUCAAGAAGAUAGAUUCCAUCAUCACUCACAUGUUCACUACACAGGGGAAUCGCAUGAGGAAUCACACAUCCAUCUGUUUCCUGUAACCCCCAUAAAAUUAAAAUUAUAAAUCAAACACAUGUAAAUUGAUCCAUCUCUUUCCAUAAAAUCUCGACAAAAUUACAUUUCUGGUCCUUGAGUAUACCCGAUUUUUACAAUUUUGGUCUCAAAAAAUACAAUCUACUCUAUUAUAUAUUAUAUAUAGUAUAAUAUACCUUUGAAUUAAGGUCAUGGAUGCUUAUCAUCCUUGGGUACACAAGAGGGAUUGCCAAUUGAGUAGACAAAGGAAGAACAUAAUUAAUCCAAAACGAUCUCUCAUCAAUACGCCCAUCACUUCGCAACCCAAUACUUUUAAUCAAAGCUAAAAAAAAAAGGAUAAAGAUUAGAGGAUGCCUGCCAUUGCCACGUGGCAUAUCCAUAUGCUGACUCAGCAAAAAAGAUGAAAGAUAUACCUACCGAGAGUGUACAGAGGCAAAAGCUUGAGUGCUUCUGGAAGUAUGAGCUGUCCUGACGAUGACACGGUGGCACAAAAUUUGCGAUAAGAAUGAAGAAUGUUGAUGCAAAGAUUUGUCACUUGCUCCCUUACUUGCACUAAUGGGCUUGAAGGGAUUUCAAUUGCAGCUGAAAAAAACAAUAAAUUAAAUAUCAAUAUAUUUUAUUUUUUGUAUUUUCGAUGAGUUUAAUUAGUUGCUUUUCAUCCUUAAUGUAUUUAGUUCCCCCCUCUUUUAGAGACCAAAAUUACAAAAACAAGGACGAAAAAUGUAAUUUACUCAAUAAGAAAGUACCUUGUUUUAAAAAACAUGAAAAUUGGGUGUCCAGGUCAGCAGAGCGGAAAAGAUUACUGAGCAUGGUUGUACAUGGUAAAGAUAAGGUGGAUACUCGUAUUCUUCGUUGCCCAUAUACACUUGUAUAUAAAAGCGCACACUGUAAAAAAAAAUAAACACAAUAUCAUUUAUAAAACAACAAACCACAUUUUAAAAAAUAAAAAAGUACCUGAAAAGCACAUUCUGUGCCAUCUUGCAAUUUAUCAUCAUGUUUUAAGGUUACCAUUAUCGUUUUGUCACAAUCAAUCUGCAAAAACCACAUUACAAUUUACAAAAACGGACCCUCUACUUUCUGAUUUUCACCAUGUUUAGUCCGAAACUGAAAUUUUGGUCCUUAUUUCAAGGUUUCAUAUCAACUUUGAAAGAAAGAUUUCAAAUUUGGACUAAACAUGGUAAAAAUGAGAAAGCACAGGGACUAUUUUUGUAAAUUCACUCAAGAGAAGAGGGACAAAACAAACCGCAGGCAGAUCAAUGUCUGUAGGAAUGCGUUUGCAGAAGUUACCAAAGUAUUCUUCUACUUGAACAGCCUACAGAAAUUAAGAAUUUUAAAUAUAAAUAUAAAUGUAAAAUAAAUUUAAUUUAUUAGAAGCUGACCUGGCUGCAUCUGACACGCAUUACUGCUUCAAAACCUUGAGGUCUUGUGACAUUCCAUCGAAGAUCAUUAUAAAGUUUUGCGGGAUCAGAGAGAGCAGAAAAAGGGUGAUAAUAGUACACCUGUAAAAAAAAAAAAGUCAACAAGUCAACUGCUGAAAAUAUUUUUUUAAAUAAAAAAAAAAGAAAAUGAUAUUACCUGUCCUCCAGUUGUCCUUGGAACAACGGAAACUGAAGCAAUGUCCACAUAACUUUGUGUUGUUAUAAAUACAUCAACAGAAACCUGAAAAAAAAAUUAAAAAGUUAUAAAUAUUUAAAUAUUUAAAUGGGUAACAAUUUAAUAACAUUUUAACCUGGUACUCUGCAAAUUCAAUAGCCAUUGUCUUUAAAGUCCUGUCAACUGGUUGAAGUAAUUUAUGAGGUUAAUGAAAUUAAAAAAAAAAAAAAAGAUAUUAUUAUUACAAAUAUAAAGAAAUAAAACAAUGUGAUUUUGUUUAAUGUAGAAAUUACCUUUUCUCCUGAAGAUAUAUUACUUCUUCCUUCUGCUUCUCUAGCAGAAAGAGCUCCAAUUCCAGCAGAAGGCAAGACUAUGAUAAAAUACAGUAAUAGAAUAAUUAUUAAUAUAAAACUAUAAAUAAUUAAUUAGCUAUUAAAAUUUAAGAUAAAAUAAAGUUCACAGAAACUUACCUGAUUGAAAUACCAAAAGUUUUCCUCCAGUAUUCUUCAUUGCCAAAAAAGCACCCUGAGUGAAACAGAAGCAAUGGUAAAGUAAAAACCUUAAACUUAUGGUAUAAAUAAUAAAAUAAGCUGAUUAAUUUUUUAAAUAUAUUUAUACAUAUAUUUUUAAUUAUUACCUUCAUUCCAGCACCAAAAGCUGAAUCAGCUGUUUUAUUAUUCUGAAACAUAGUUGGGAUGCUUUCCAGCAACAAAUCUAGAUGCUGACGACACUGUGAUCAUAUAAUUAAUUACACUUAAAAAAUUAUUUAUAAGUUCUUGAAUUAAAAAAAAAUAAAAAAUAUGAAAAUUUUAUCACCUCAGAAAGUUGAACAACGACAUCUGAAGGAAGAGGAGUGUAAACAUCAUGUAUGUCUGGCACUAAGAACAUCAAUGGCUGCAAUAAAAAAAAAAAAAAGAACUUGAAGAAAUAAUUCAUUUUGAAAGUUUAAAACUUUUUUUAAAAAAAAAAACCUGUUGCAAAGCGCGUUUCAGAUUAUAAAAAUGGAUAGUUGAGUCAAAUGUAGCAAUUCCCACAAGUGUCUGAGGACCCUCCUGCACCAAUCAUAUUAUUAUUAUUACAAAUCAAUAAUAAAUUAAUUUCAAGAAAAAAUAAAAAAGUGUAAAUUGUUUUUUUUACAAACUUACUGGAAGAUCAGCAACAACUCGACUAAUAGCACUACAAGCUCCAGCUGUAGCACCUGUUUGUAUUGCAUUCAUUGAUACAUCAACAAGAAAGAAAAAGACAGCUGGCAUUGGUUCCCGAACCUAAAAAAAAUAUAAAUUAAAAAGAUAUAGUUUCUAUAAACUUCAAGUUUUUGUUUAUAAAUCUAACCAGAAAUUCUCUUGUAGCAACAAAUUCAACUGUUCCUCUACAUAACUCAGGCCUUUCAUCAGCAUCUCUCCUUCUUCCAUCUGGACCUAAAUUACACUGAUAUUCACGGGGAGUUUCAUCCGUAAAACCUGAAAAUUUUUUAAUUUUUUUUUUAAUCACAAUAAGUCAAUAACAUGAAAUAAUAAAUAAUAAUAUCAAUAUUCAUUAUUUCAAUAAUCAAUACUCACCACAGAGGUUACAGAUAAAUCGUUUUCCUUGAUCAAUAAACUUCAUGAAUGGAUUAAUGUAACCUUUGCAACGUGAACAUCGAACUGGCCCACUUUCACCAAAAUCAACUACCUAAAUUAUUAAUUUUUAGCAAAUCAGAAACUAAUAAUACAAAAAUUCAAAUUUAGUUUUUUAUUUUUUUAACUUUUUUUUUUUAAAUUACUUGAAUAGGCUCCUCAGAUGGAUGAGGGAGGGCUAAGGGUUGCACCAAUAAAGCCAAUGGCAUCCCGGAUGUGGUCAAUAGAUCAGAAGUGCAUGGAAUCUGGUCAAAGUCAAACAACAUAAAGUUUUACUUUUACAGUUUUACAUUAAACUAAGCAAAAAAAAAAAUGGAAAUUAGUCAAAUUACCUGAUUAAUUGUACACCUCAUGUACCUUGGACUACAAUUUCCAGUAUCCCUUGCAAUGAAUUCACUUGAAGCAGGCUUUAGAAUAAAACAACAUAUAACAUAAAAUGUGAUAUACUCAUAUACUCAUAAAUAAAAUAGAAUUUAAAAAAAAAUAGAAAAUAGAAAAUACCGGUGGAGGAUUGGCUUGAUUUCCUUGGCGGGUUUCGUGUAAAAGUAUAGAGGAAGAUGGAAUAGGGCGGGGGAUUUGGUUAGGGUCAAUUCUUGAAGGUCCUGUGCCUACAGUGGGGCCCAUGGUGGGUGAUAUUGUAGCCAUUGAUUGUUGAUUUGGAAGUGAUGGUUGCAUCCCAAACAUUCUGGGAGGUUGAGGAGAGCCAGAGGUAGGUGGAGGUGGGCCAGGUGGCAUGUUCUAAAACAAAGAAAUAGAUUUCACAAGUCAUUUGCAACAUUUCUUAUUAAUAGAAAAUAGAAAAUGGAAACUUACUUGACGAGAUUGCAUUUGCCAUGGUUGAGAUCCAAAUGGAGGUAUACCUUGACCCUGGGAUGAAAAAGGAGGAGGUAUGCCACCUGGAGGUGGUGCUGAAAAAGGUGGAGCUGGUUGUACUGGCCUUGGUAAUGCAUUCAUGGACUGGCUUCCAAUGCCUGAAUGCAUACUUUGCCCCAAAAGGGAAGGACCAGGUGGCAUGGUUUGUCGAGGUGGUGGAGGUCCUCCUAAUGGUCUUGGAGGGUUGGUAGGACCACCUUGCAUGCCAACUGGUCCAAAAGCUGGCGGUCCAUUACUCAAUGGACCACCAGGUCCAGGUCCACCACCAGGGGAGGUUGCAAAGGGACCUGGACGAAGACCUGGAGGAGCCAUUGGUCUUGAAGAAGAUGGAGGAGGUUGGUUACUACCAGGAGGACCACCACCAGUUGGUCGAUUAGAGGCCAUGAAAGGUGGCAAUGCAGCUUGCGGUGGUCCACUAGGUGGUGGCAUUGCACCUCUAGGAACAACACCAGGUGGUGGUGCUCCGGGAAACGGGGAUGAAGGAAAAGGUUGUGGUCGGGGUUGGUGUCCAAAAGGGGGAGGCGGACCUCUAGGUCCACCACCGGAAUUUGGUGGCUGAUUAGGGCGAUUGAUUUGCAGGUUUUGCAUGUUAUUGGCAAUCGAAUUAGGGUUAUAAUUAGGCGGGAGAUUACCGGGUCUAGGUCCACCGGGAGUUGCCAUUGACAACGAUCGUCAGAAGAACAAACAAUUCCACACUACAAUGCAUCAAUAUCAAACUUUUAUGCAUCAAACAUCAAGAAGAAACAGACCUCAUAGCAAUAGAAUUCACACGAAUCAUAAUCGAUAAACUUCACAAAAGCAAACGUAACAUUCGACAUGAUCUGGAAUAAUCCUUUGAAAUCAAGUGAUACACAAGCAAUUCAAUAGACAUACCUGUAGUUGAAUUCCACUGAUCGAACUGUGAAGAUGGAAUUAUGUGAAAAAGCGUUUGUGAAAAAAACCUAAGUAAGGAUCAAUGAAAUUCAAGGUUAGUUAUGUUGCAUCGUUACUGUUUCUUGUUUCUUCUGCAUAAUUGGCUCCAUUUAGGAGUUGUACUUUAUGCAUUACUCAUGGUACAGUACAUUCAUGAGAAAACGGGUCACAGCAGUUCGGUAACUUACGGGUCGAUUUAAAUGGGUUGGGUCGUAAACUCGGCAAUUCGCUUUGUAGGCUUCAGUUUCAGUGGGCCGGAGCCCAUUAUAGUUUUGUUGAAUGUUAUUUUUAUAUAAAUAAAUUGUAUCUUACAUUUUUUGUUGGUUAAAAAAUGCUUCCUAAUUUUUGUUUAAUUUUAUAAAUUCAAAAGUGAACAUGACAGAAUAAAUAUGUAGUUGUAUAAGACUCAUUGAAAAGAAGAGUGUAUUGCAUUUUAUACUUUGUAUGAAUUUCAAAGGGAAUGACAUCUUAAAACAAACAAAAUUACUAUUUAACAUCUCAUUAAAUUUAAUACUUUAACAAAACAUGAAAAUUGUAAUGAAGAGAACGUACUUUAUAAUAAAACAUGAGCAUGAUACUAUUUAAAGUACGACCACUGUCUUUUUCAAAAUUAUUUUACAUGUUAUACUUUAUCAGUUGUGUGUUUAGCUCUUCGACAACUGUGCGUUUUAAAUCAAAAAAACGUCCACAUCAUGGUCUUGUCUACCUUAGUACAAAUAAUAAGUCCAUCAUAUCAUGUUUGUAUACGGUUUUCUCAUAAAUAUCUCAAUAAUAUAAAGUAGUUUAUGUGUAUAUUUCACUCAAAAUUUGUAGUUUUUUUUUUUUUAUAUAUAAAAUAAAAGUUGAUCAAAGUUAUGGUAUCGAUCAAGACCACUCAUAGUGUGUGGGUCAUGUUGUGUUGGACACACAUGUGACUUGAUGAUGACAAUUUAUGGUAUGUGGGCCUUUUUUUUCAUUGGAUACACAUGUGGGUAGAGAUACAUCAUAACCUUAUUAUUGAUACAAAAUCAUCAUUAAACACCAUGUCACAACAAUCAAUCAUACAUGUAACAAUCAAUCAUACAUGUGUUUCUUUUAUGAUCAAAGAUUUUGGAAUGUGGCUAGCAAGAUGUUAAGCGAAAUUACAAAGCACAAACAUUAUUUCGUUAGAGAUGUCUAAUAACUACACAUGCAAUCAUUUCAUUAGAAUGAAAUGUAUUAAAGUACGCAUCACAUGUAGUUUAAACCUAAGACCUCUCUAAUGGAUUCUGUUAAAAUCAUACAUAAAAAUAUUAUGUAUACAAAAUUUCAGGAUUUUGAAACAAGUUCUUUUGUUUGAACUUUUAUAGUACCGAAGAAUCUUGCUCCAAGAAGUAUGGGACCGGGAGUAUGUGUCACGUGUCAAACAUAUCGAGUGUUUGGUUAUGUUUUGAGAAAAACUUAAAAACAAGAAUUUGUAUGUGAUAUUAUGUUAAAUAUAAGAAAUAUUACAUAAACAAAAGAAAAUAUUAAAGUAUAUGAAUCUACUAUAUACUAAGUUUGUAAAAAUCAGUUUUUAUUAUUAAGUUGGUUGAUUAGCAACCACCGAUUAGUUGGUCUAAUCGGUGAUUAGUGAGUGAGUAGUUGGGAACCUUAAUUGUAAUUAGUUAAAUUUUAAAUAAACAAAUAUGAUUAAUAUUAUAACAAAGUAGGUAAUACGAUUAAUAUCAUAAAAAAAAGUUAAUAUGAGUAAUCAAUACUAAUACUUUUUCAAAUAGUUUUUAUUGAAAUAUAGCAUCUUCAACAUUUUUAAGAUUCAUUGGUUUCAAUAACUCCACUAAUUGUCUACACAUGGAUUAGUCAUUAGGAGCCGUCUAGUCGGUUGCGUACCAUCUAGUCGAAUUGUUUACAACUCUGUUGUUUACGACACCAGUUUAUAAAAUCAGUUAUAGAAAAAUCAAAAAACUAAUAAUCAAGUCAAAGAAAUAAAAACGUAAAUUAUAAUAACAAAAUCACUUUAAAACAAUUUCAUCAUCACGCCACCACCACUAUCAGUUAAAAAAUAAAGAUUUAAUAACAUCCAUCAUAUAAAAAGUUGAAUUUAAGGAAAUAAAAUAUGUGAUAUAUAAGAAGGUAUCGUGCCCUACACAAAUACGAUAAGCUCAACUAUCUAUUUUUUCUAGUUCUUGACAUAUCUACGUCACCUUUCAAAUAUCUUAAAAUUUGUAUUACCAUAAUGUUUACAAUAAUUCAAAAGCAUUAUAAAUACGUUAAAUUAGUCAUAUCUUAGAAACCAUUUUUAGUAUAUUUAAUUGGUUUAAUUAAUCAUUAUGCCAAUAUUUGGUCAUGUUAUAUCAUAAAAUAUUUAAGUUGAUGGAGCAACAUACCCACUUUAGGUAUUAGUUUGGCAACUGCCAAAGUAGAGCACUUGCUUUAAAACAAAGUUAAGAUAAUAUUUAUAUUAUGAUGGAUAAAAUUUGUAAAUAAUAUUUAUUUAUAGAAAGUUAUAAUGUUUUAUUUUUAGGGGACUCCUUCAGUUAAAUUAAGUUAUUUAUAUUUGGUUUGAGCUAUAUUUGAGGUAUUAACAUGUAGUUGCUAGCUAAAAAAAAUAGAUACUAACUGAAAAACUAGCUUUCGAAAAAAUAACGUUUGAUAAAAACUAAGUUUAAUGAAACAUACAAAAUAACAUAAAAAAAUAUUUAGAAAAAUAUGUAUUUAAAUGAAGGAGUGAGAAGUGGUGGAGCUUGGCAUAUAAUUAAUUAAUGGUAUAUUUAUAAAAAUUUUAAAAUUAAUUAGGAAUAUAAGAAUGUUAGUUUAAAUAACUUUUUAAAAAGACAGUGUGAGUAAUUUUUAGAAAACAAUCUUAUAAUCUAUUUUUUGGUUUGUUAAAUAUAACUAAUUAUAUAUAUAAAAAAAAAAAAAAAAAAACCUCUAAAAUUAGGCUAGUUGUAUACCAAAAACAGUGUUAAACUUAAAACAUUUUCUCUUUUUUUUUUUAUCAUUCUAAGAUUUAAUAAAUAUAUAACGUAAUAAUCUUUAAGAUUAAAUAUUAAAAUGAAUAUUGUAGUUUCUACAUGUUAAUAUUUUAAUUCAUUUCGCUCUUUGCUGUAUUCAUCUUUAUUUUAAUUUUAAUUAUUUAUUUAUAAUGCUCAGUAAGAAUCAAAACGUUGAACAAGUCGAUUGUGAUUUAUACAAUAUCGGAUUUUAUUAGAGGUGGGUAACGAGUAGUUUUGUACGGUUUGAGUCGAUCAACUAUUUUGUCUAUUUUUUAAUACUUUAUUAAAUAAUAAUAAAUAAUCUUAAAUACAAUCAACACUGUAUACAAUUUUUUGUAAAUAUCUUUUUACGAGAGUUGGGAGCAAGCGGUUCCAUUAUGGUGUUCAUAGUGGCACUGAAAUUUUUUUUUUUUUCGAAUGCAGUGUAAAUUUUUUUGAAUUUUUGUUUUUCACUAUUGUGCCACUACGUAAAAAAAAAUAUAUCACUGACAAUAUCUACUACAAAAUCUUACGUCCGACCCUAUUUUCAAAUAUCUUAAAUAACUUUUAAAAUGUUUCAUGAUCGAAAUUUUACGUUUUGCAUCUUAUAAACCCAUGACUGUAAAAUAUAAUAGAGAUUAGAAAUUCUAUUGAAAUGAACUAACAUCCAAAUUUAGGGGCUGUUUUUUUUUUUGUGUGAAGAUCUGCGCAACCACUUUUGUCUGAGCCACGCAGACAUAUGCCCUUGCAGAUUGUUUGUUUUUUGGAAGUGCGUAAAUCAGAAAACGUCUGCGCGAGGUCUUCCUGGCGUAGACAUGUGCCACUGUCUUCAAAGGUCUUCAAACCUCAUUUUAACCUAAACAAAAAAAAAACAUGGGCCACCAUGCAAUUUUUUUUUUUUUGUUAAAAAUGUAUUUUUAAUGUUUAUGACAUGAAAUUAAGUUUAAAAAAUCAAUUUAUUUUAACAUCCCGCAGAUGUUAAAAACAAACAGUUUUCUUAUUGCAGACUGCAGACAUUUGGUCCACCUCUUCAGCCGCAGAGGCUUGCAGAUAUGGUCCGCAGACUGCAGACAUUUUGACUUCAAAAAAACAAACAGCAUCUUACUCGUCUUGUUAAUCCAAUAUAUAUUAUAACUUGACGUUGAUUAAUAUAUCAAUGAUGGAAUCAAUUUUUACUACUAUUUUGACAAUGAUCAAAGUUAUCCUAAUUUUUAUAGCCCCUCCACAAUGAAACCAUACAAUAAUGAUUAGUGGAGGAGCAAGAUUUGGUGCCGAAAUCAAUAAAAUGGUUCAUCUUUAAUUUCAAACUAGUUAAAGAAGACCACAUCGUGUUUUCAAUCGACAAGAAGUUGAACCAAAUGAUGAAAUUGUUGAAGAAUGACUUCAAACGAGAGGAAAGCAACUUCAAUGCAUAAAAUCAAAUUGUAACCGUAGAAAGAUAUGAAAUUGAAUUGAAAAAAUCUCAAAUAAUUUUGCAAGAACUAGAAACACCCAAAUUAGAGAGGGGUUUGUGGAGGCUAGUACCACCCCUAUCCAAUGAUUUUGAAAAAAAAAACUCAAAACAUCUUUUUGUUGAUUUUAUCGGUAUGGAUCGGGAAAAAACAAACAAAUAUCAUCAUUAGACAUCCCUUUUUGGAAAGUAUCUAUGCCCAAAUUAGUUGUCGGGGCGGUGUAAUUAAUGUAGCUUUUGGAAACCAAAAACUAAGACUUUAACUAUUUGGACCUACUAAUGAUCAUCCAAUCUAUGGUGACCAUUUUAUGAUCGAUACUAUCGAGGAUUAUAUCUAUAAGCGCACACACACACACAUACACACACACACACACACACACACACACACACAUAUAUAUAUAUAUANNNNNNNNNNNNNNNNNNNNNNNNNNNNNNNNNNNNNNNNNNNNNNNNNNNNNNNNNNNNNNNNNNNNNNNNNNNNNNNNNNNNNNNNNNNNNNNNNNNNNNNNNNNNNNNNNNNNNNNNNNNNNNNNNNNUUAAUGUGUAAUAAAAUGAACCUUGGUCAUGGAUCUAAGGGUCAUUUUAUAUGAUUCGCCCUGAAGUCAAAAUGUGGUCAACAUAGUCAAAUAGAAUGUAAGUGAUGAAGAAGAUUAAAUGUUCGUCUAGUAGUAGUGCAAGACAAAAGGCUACUUUGAUAACACCAUAUAAUUUGUUUUGAUAACACUACAUAACUCAGGAAUGAAAAUGACAAGAUAGAAUUGCCUAAUAGGAAGAAAUGUUAUGAAAUGAGAUCUCAUGAUAUGAUCAAAUGAUAAUUCUAUAAGAAUUAGUUAGAUUCAAUGAAAACUAUUCUUCAUUGGAAUGUAUAUGUAUAACCUUCUUCGUUAAGGACAUUACCAAUCUAUAUCUUCAAGGUUGUCUGUAAAAACUUCUAUUCUUCUAUCUUCUUGAUCUUGUUGCCCAAAUGAUACCUCACUAUGAAGAUAUUCCUAAAUGAUGGAGCUAUAACAAAUGUUUGUAAAUAUAAAUAUCUUAGAUAAGAUUUUGUCACGAGUAAGGAACAAUAUCAAAGUCUUUUUAUAGCCUAACGGGACGUUGGUAUUAUCGAGUAUGAGUUAUGUAUCUUAUAAAUUUUUUGACUUUAUGUCCACCUAAUCUCAGAACGAAAAGUGCCCAAGUGCUCAUCCAUAAUCUCCAUGACACCCGCCUUGAUCAUACCGAAGAUUACAGGAGUUUGCUCAAGAAUAUUGCGGGUAAUCUCUGAUGAAAUGAACUCCCACAUCUAAUCAUACAUAUGUCUGACCCUAGAGCCCGAACUCAAACCGUUGCCAGAACCUCCUCAUGUGGCCACCAUACUAAAAAUAGACCACUAAAACCAUCAGAACAUAUAUAUAUAUAUAUAUAUAUAUAUAUGUAUAUAUAUAUAUAUAUACACACACACACACACACACACAUCAAGGAAUUCCAUAUUCUACAAGCUUCUUGGUAUCAUCGUGACUUUCCUUAACUCGAGUACAAGUCCUCUGCUUCCAGUAGUACGGGCCCAUACUACCUUCCAUAUCUAUCCGUACUUUCCUAAAGGAUCACCAUGAGUUAUCCAAGUCACUCCCUUUUCAAUCCAAACAAUCCUCAAUAAGACAAGGCUUUCAACACUGAAUCACCUCCUAGGUUUUACUAGGAUACCACCACACCACGCUCCGCCAUCAACUGUAGAAGGAACUCCCCUAACACCCUCUAACUAGCUUACGAAUACAAUUACAUACCAACGACACCAGAUAAUUCUUCUAAUGAAAGGUCUCACACUACAACGAUUGGACUAAAACAAGAGCUGCGUAAUAGAGUAAAAACCUAACCUUCUAAAAUUAUCUAGUCUCAAUAAUAUGUAAGUUGGCAUAUUUUAUUACUAGUUAGAUGAUGUUAAUGGGAACUCCUAAAAGCACAAAGCAAGCAACACUUGAGCAUCGAGUAAUCAGAAUCAAAGCAUGUCCUAAACAUGUAAUCCUAUCAUCGACUGAUCAGUACUAGAAUGCAAGUCUACAGGCUCAUAUAGUAGGCAUAUAAAGGCAUCUCUCCUAGCAUUCUAUCAUGCAAUCCUGAGCAGAUCCUUAUCCAUAAUCUAGCAUGCGAUUCACAGAUUCACAAUUCAAAGCAUAACACAAAACAUAUAUGAGUAUUUUCGGAAAACUUACUUGAGCUCGGUCGAUUGCAUGCACCGCACCCAUUUCUUUUAUUAGAAAACUCCUUUUAUAAAACAUUUCUUUUUAUGAAAAAUCUACCAAACCCUCAGUUUAAGUUCAGACGUACCCGAGAGUACGCCUGAAUCCCUCAAACCAACGCUUUGAUACCAACUUGUAACGUCCCAAAACUCAAAACCAUUUUUUUGUUUUUAUAUUAAAUAAAACAUCAACCAAACAUGUUUAUCAAAACCAAAAGGAAUUCAUAAUGUAUUCAUAAUCAUCCAAAACACAUCAGAGUCAAAUAAGUGAAAAUUCAUGGUGUGUGCGAUGUAAUCAUCCCGAAUUCUUACCCUUUAAUCUGGAAGUACCUGAAACAUAAAUUUAAACCUUAAGCACGAAGCUUAGUGAAUUCCCCAAUAUACAACAUACCAUACAUAUCUGCCAAAUCAAGGCUGUGCCGGGUCUAUUUCACCCCCGAGUCUAUUUUAACUCAUGCAUUGGCCCAAAGCCAUACCAGGUCUAUUUCACCCCUGGUCUAUUUCACCCCCGAGUCUAUUUCAACUCAUAUGUCAGCACAAGGCUGUACCGGGUCUAUUUCAUCAUCCGAGUCUAUUUCACCCCACAUACAUAUAGUAAACAGACACGUAGGAAUAUAACACAUACAUCAGGAGUCACAAAGACUACAAACACAUAACAAAUCAUAGUGUCCUAGUAUAGUGAGAAAACUCACCUCAGUCUGUUGUAACUUAAACAAAUGAUCGGGCUGCUGAGCUAGAGAAUCCCCUCACCAACUAAUCAAAUAAAACCCAAUUAAUAAUUGUCCUAUAAACCAUAACCGGGAAUCUAGUUCAUUUGUCCAACACCUAGGGUAAAAGUCCAUUUUACCCUUCCCUCACUUGACCCAAUAAACGAGGCACAAACUCAAUGGCACUAAAAGCCCAAUAGUGGCCCAAUUUCCUAAAGGACACCCAAAGCCCAAUUGUCACACCCCUGAACCAAGGAUGGCGGAAACGUCCAGGGAUGGAGGACUUCAUGUGUAGUAUCAUAACAACAAUGGUAAUAGUGAUGAAAGUAAACACAACCAACAUAUAUAUAAUUGAAAAAGUUACAUCAUUGUAUGUAUUACAUGUUUCAAAUUCAAUUACAAUAUGUUGACAAAAUGUAAUAAGUUUGACGCCUCAACGUCCCAUCCUCAAAAGUACUUUAUUACCUGUUUAGUGAUUUCCUGAGAAUACAAGCAGUUUGAAAAAAGUGUCAACACAAGGGUUGGUAAGUUCAUAAGUUUUUGUAUAUAAUUAUGAAAAAGCUCGUCAUGUAAUUGUAUAGUUGUUCCAGAAAAAUCCAAUAUUUUCCUUAAAAUGAAUAAUGUAGUCUUGUAUCCAAAGACUGAAAUAUAUGAGUAAUCUUUCUUAUUUGCAGAAAAUAAUGUGUGUUUAUUUCAACGCAAACGCGUAUGAUAUCAAUGAAACUCUCGUAUAUUCUUAAGUUUGUUAAUACUUUCUGUGAGCUAUUAUAACCAUACUAUGACCUAGGUGGCCUGAAUACGACGUUCUUCGGGCGUCGUAGAACUGAAAUGACACUUGUCACCCGUAGACCUGCAGGUCCAACUGUAGCUAGCAGCAAGGUGUGGGGUGUCAAACCCAAUAUAGAUCUAUAUACAACUAUCACGCUCUCCUUCCAGGAGACUCUGGUUACAAUACAGGACUUAUGAUUUAUGUGAAGAGGAUGACUCACAAAGUUAUUAACGAAUUUACACUUAAUCAUAAUGAAAGUUUCCUUUUUGUAAUGUAUGCAUAUUGAAAUCCAUCGUAAACUAUACCUAUUAUAGUUUGGCAAAACGAAGGUAGUAACAGUAAAGUACGUAAUUUUUACUUAAUAUAGUUUAUUUAACGUUUGUGUGUAAUGGGUAUACUUCAAUAAUAACGCUUUGUGUAAUCUAUGCUUUGUCUAGUAAAAAUCCAUUUGUUAACAGGUUUAUGUCUAGAUACUAACACAAGAAUGUCGUAUAUUGCAAAUAUACAUGAACACGUAAUAAUAUGCACCCUGCUCAACAUGUUACAAGGUGUUAUGAAAAUUAUAUGAUGUUAACUAAAUUAGACCUUCCUGCACUGUUUUAGAAAAGCCAUAGAAAAAUCAUACGAAGUCGAAAACUAAAUCCGUAAAUUCUGAGAGUUCCCAAAAUGUGUCUAGUUUACUCAUAAUUUUUAUCAUGAUUUUUAAUGACCUCCAACUUGGGUGAAAAAGUCCAUAAUCACAGACUGGUCCGGAUUGGUGCUUGGAAUGAUAGGCAGUUUUGUAAAAAUCACCAUAAAUUGUAGAAAAAUCGUAUGGGGAUGUGCAAGUAGUCAUUUUAAAGCUAAGAAGUGGAACUACAUGCACCUAAAACAGUUUUGAAAACUAAAAUGUUUAAGGUGUCCAAAACAGUCCGUGAAUGGAGUCUAACUUUUCUGAUGAAAGCUGUUAGAAGAAUUUAAAUAUGUUCUUGAUGUUUUGACUUGUAUUCCCCCCCUAAAAACUUGAGAAAACAUGAAAAUGUAGGGGUAUGAACUCACCUUGUGUGAUUUCAGUGGAUAAGUGUUGAAGAAGAGAAGUGUUCAACCCAAGAACACUAGAAGAAUCGCUUGAAGAUUCGAAGCUCUAACACAAAUAUAAUGGAGUUUGUGUAAGAUAUCCAUGAUUUGAGUGGAAAUAAUUGAGAUAAUCAUAAAGGAAAUGGAUUAUGCUUACCAAAGGUGGAGGAAACUCUCAAGAUCAGCCCUUGAAUCUCGGAUUUCUAGAGAGAGAAAGUGAGAGAGAAAGGAGUUUGAUCUUCUUGUGAAAUGAGAACAAAUGAGAGAAAAUGAGGAGAGAGGAUGAAUAUCCAGCUCUCAAAACAUGGAGAUGGCUUGUGAGGGAGGUAAAAAGUACAAGGUAGGGUGGGGAGGAGUGUGGGUUGUCAUGGAGUGGGUGUGGGGGUUGCUUGCGUCAUAACUAAGGUAAGGUCAACACUCUUCUUUUUGUACUUUACCAACUCCUUUUUAAAUAAGAUUUUAUCCUUAAAAUGUGAUUAAAUCAUUAAUUUAGGGGUCUUAUAAUUAAAAAUAAAGUUUUGGGUGAAAAUCCCAUGUUAAAAUAAUUAAAAAUGGGUUUAAAACGCAAAAAUACGCAAAAACGGGGUGAAAAUUGCAUUUUCCAGCGAGUUUCUUCGGACCUAGGCCGAAGCUCGGUCCCUAGGCCGAAGUCCGGUCAGGCGGGGCUUGGUUCGGACGCGGGUGGUUGAUUCCGGAGGCGAAGGCGCGAAGGGUGGCUCGGU
rnacentral:lncRNA from 1 species